UGAGGAAUAUUGGACAAUGGGUGAGAGCCUGAUCCAGCCAUCCCGCGUGAAGGACGACGGCCCUAUGGGUUGUAAACUUCUUUUGUACAGGGAUAAACCUACCCUCGUGAGGGUAGCUGAAGGUACUGUACGAAUAAGCACCGGCUAACUCCGUGCCAGCAGCCGCGGUAAUACGGAGGGUGCAAGCGUUAUCCGGAUUUAUUGGGUUUAAAGGGGUCCGUAGGCGGAUCUGUAAGUCAGUGGUGAAAUCUCACAGCUUAACUGUGAAACUGCCAUUGAUACUGCAGGUCUUGAGUAAAUUUGAAGUGGCUGGAAUAAGUAGUGUAGCGGUGAAAUGCAUAGAUAUUACUUAGAACACCAAUUGCGAAGGCAGGUCACUAAGAUUUAACUGACGCUGAUGGACGAAAGCGUGGGGGGCGAACAGGAUUAGAUACCCUGGUAGUCCACGCCGUAAACGAUGCUAACUCGUUUUUGGGUUUUUCGGAUUCAGAGACUAAGCGAAAGUGAUAAGUUAGCCACCUGGGGAGUACGUUCGCAAGAAUGAAACUUAAAUGAAUUGACGGGGGUCAUAGCUGUUUUCCU
rnacentral:rRNA from 1 species